rnacentral:rRNA from 1 species
CCCUUAGAUGUUCUGGACCGCACGCGUGCUACACUGAGUGGAUCAGCGGGUCAGGUUGCGCGAAAGCGUUUCCUAAUCUUUAAAUCCGCUCGUGAUGGGGAUUGACGGUUGCAAUUUUCUGUCAUGAACGAGGAAUACCUUGUAAGCGCGGGUCAUCAUCCCGCGCUGAAUACGUCCCUGCCCUUUGUACACACCGCCCGUCGCUCCUACCGAUUGAGUGGUCCGGUGAGGCUUUGGGAUCUGAGCGGAAGGAGCGUUUCGCUGUUUCUGCUCGGAAAACUCAGUCGAACCUUAUCAUUUAGAGGAAGGAGAAGUCGUAACA